rnacentral:rRNA from 1 species
UACGGAGGGUGCGAGCGUUGUUCGGAAUCACUGGGCGUAAAGCGCGCGUAGGCGGCUUUGCAAGUCGGGUGUGAAAUCCCCAGGCUUAACCUGGGAACUGCAUUCGAGACUGCAUUGCUAGAGUAUGGGAGAGGGAAGUGGAAUUUCCGGUGUAGCGGUGAAAUGCGUAGAUAUCGGAAGGAACAUCAGUGGCGAAAGCGACUUCCUGGACCAAUACUGACGCUCAUGUGCGAAAGCGUGGGGAGCGAACAGG